rnacentral:sRNA from 1 species
AAUUAUGUUUUGUUAAUUGUUAAUAAUUUUUAAUAUUAACUAAGAUAUAGAUUUGAUCUCAUAUAUAUAUUAUUUUGACAUGAAAUCAUUAUCAAGUAAGAUGAAGUGUGUAGAAUUAAAAUCGAGUUUUUUAUAAAAUA